ACAUUCAAGCAUCGCAUUUUCUCUUUCUAUGUAAACCUUAAGCUCCUUCAUUUUACGUACACUUUCGUUUUCGAUCCUUAUAUACUUUUGAAAUAGCAGCAAUGUGCUACUAUCCCUUUUAAAGAGCAACUAUCAGCUGAAGAACGAUUGAUGUGUAUAUGAAUCGUUAUACAAAACGCCAGGACUUGUUUUCGACACAAGGAUAGCAUCGAAUAACGGAACAGACGUCGCAAAUAGACAAGUUCGCCUGCUAUCGUGGACUUCCCAACAACAAAGCUGGCGACCGCAAAGUGGAAGACUUUCUAUGUUGCCUAACGAUAGAUCGCGUUCCCUCUAUUCUCGAGAGUUCAGUCUAGUUUUCCUUUUUUUCCUUUCUUUCUUUAUUAUAUAAGGUCAACUACCUCUAAAAACGAAGAAAGCCAUCCGUUGACUAACUAUAUAGAAACCUAUUUAACCUGUUUAUCGACUCGAUGGAACUUUUCUUAUUAUUUUCUUAGAUUUAUUUUGAAACUUAGGUGUUUCUUUUUUCUUUUCUUUUUCUUUCUUUUCCUUUCCUUUUAUUUUCUUUUGUUUAAUGACAUUGACAGCGUAUCAAGUGCUAUAACGAUUGUCUGCGUAAAUUAAAACGUCAUCGUUCACAAUCA